UAACACCACUUGAAUACUAGGUUGUCAUCCCCAGCAUGGCACUAGAGUGUACUAUGGUAUUUAUACGCACACAGAUAAUCCGCAAGCGCACGGAUAACGUUGAAGCUUUUACCCGGUUAAAGGUUUUAUCGUAUCCACAGGGAAACGGGAGAACCAACUACGCUCUAACUUAAUCCUAGAUAGAUAAGUAAAUGUAAAUAGGAAAGAUGGUAGAACCGAAUAAGAACAAUAUUAAAGGUAAGA
rnacentral:lncRNA from 1 species